UACGUAGGGUGCAAGCGUUGUCCGGAAUUAUUGGGCGUAAAGAGCUCGUAGGCGGUGUGUCGCGUCGGCCGUGAAAACCUGCAGCUUAACUGUGGGCUUGCGGUCGAUACGGGCAUCACUGGAGUUCGGCAGGGGGAGACUGGAAUUCCUGGUGUAGCGGUGAAAUGCACAGAUAUCAGGAGGAACACCGGUGGCGAAGGCGGGUCUCUGGGCCGAUACUGACGCUGAGGAGCGAAAGCGUGGGGAGCGAACAGG
rnacentral:rRNA from 1 species